GCCGGUUUGGCUCAGUGGAUAGAGCAUUGGCCUGCGGACUCAAGGGUUGUGGGUUCGAUUCCGGUCAAGGGCA
rfam:Myotis davidii contig221108, whole genome shotgun sequence.